UGUGUCAGUUGUUGAGCGGUAAUGGCGCCGUGCUGUGGGCGGCCUUGCCGCUAAAACGACUUUGGGGGCCGCCGCUGCUCCACAUCACCGCAGCGCUCAAUCCCGAAGGUUUGCGGGAUGAGCCGGCAACCUCAGUCGCCGCCAGGAAGGAGGAGGAAGGAACGGAAGCGGCGAUAGAACAGGUGAAGCAACAGAAUGUGGAGCAACAAAACAAAUGAGGUUCCCAUACAAAAUCCAAAGUUCUCCCAAAACAGGGAUUCUAUCAGAGAUUUAACAACAGCAUGGGAUGCUUUUUCACAAACAAAGGCAGCAUUGCAACACAUCGAGAACAAAUUGGAAGUAGCUCCUGUUAGCACGGCCGCAUUGGAUUCUGUCAUGGAAAAAAAGCCAUCUAUUGGUACUACCAGGAAAAUUAGCAGGAAAGGUAUGUAUUAAGGCCUUUCCACAAAUGAGCUUGCAGUUGCUUAACAUUCUUAAAUGGAGCAUUUCUGAUCUGAAAUCAGCAAAUUACCGAUGGGAAAACUUGAAAGUUUUGUUUGGGAAGCAGAAUUCCU